rnacentral:rRNA from 1 species
UACGGGGGGGGCAAGCGUUGUUCGGAAUUACUGGGCGUAAAGGGUUCGUAGGUGGCCCGCUAAGUCAGACGUGAAAUCCCUCAGCUCAACUGGGGAACUGCGUCUGAGACUGGCAGGCUUGAGUGCAGGAGAGGAACGCGGAAUUCCUGGUGUAGCGGUGAAAUGCGCAGAUAUCAGGAGGAACACCGGUGGCGAAGGCGGGUCUCUGGGCCGAUACUGACGCUGAGGAGCGAAAGCGUGGGGAGCGAACAGG